rnacentral:tRNA from 1 species
GGGCAGGUGGCGGAAUUGGUAGACGCACCAGACUCAAAAUCUGGCGAAGAAAUUCGUGAGAGUUCGAGUCUCUCUCUGCCCA